rnacentral:tRNA from 2 species
GGAGCGGUGUCCGAGCGGUCGAAGGAAGCGGUCUUGAAAACCGCCGAGCCGAAAGGCUCCGUGGGUUCGAAUCCCACCUGCUCCG